AACCUCCGCAAUGCGAGAAAUCGCGACGGGGGGACCCCAAGUGCCACUCUUAACGGGGUGGCUUUUCUUAAGUGUAAAAGCUUUUGGAAUAAGGGCUGGGCAAGACCGGUGCCAGCCGCCGCGGUAACACCGGCAGCUCUAGUGGUAGCCAUUUUUAUUGGGCCUAAAGCGUUCGUAGCCGGUUUGAUAAGUCUCUGGUGAAAUCCUGUAGCUUAACUGUGGGAAUUGCUGGAGAUACUAUUAGACUUGAGGUCGGGAGAGGUUAGCGGUACUCCCAGGGUAGGGGUGAAAUCCUGUAAUCCUGGGAGGACCACCUGUGGCGAAGGCGGCUAACUGGAACGAACCUGACGGUGAGGGACGAAAGCCAGGGGCGCGAACCGGAUUAGAUACCCGGGUAGUCCUGGCCGUAAACGAUGUGGACUUGGUGUUGGGAUGGCUUCGAGCUGUUUCAGUGCCGAAGGGAAGCUGUUAAGUCCACCGCCUGGGAAGUACGGUCGCAAGACUGAAACUUAAGGAAUU
rnacentral:rRNA from 1 species